AGCGUACACGGUGGAUGCCCUGGCAGUCAGAGGCGAUGAAGGACGUGCUAAUCUGCGAUAAGCGUCGGUAAGGUGAUAUGAACCGUUAUAACCGGCGAUUUCCGAAUGGGGAAACCCAGUGUGUUUCGACACACUAUCAUUAACUGAAUCCAUAGGUUAAUGAGGCGAACCGGGGGAACUGAAACAUCUNNNNNNNNNNNNNNNNNNNNNNNNNNNNNNNNNNNNNNNNCUGUGAGCUCGAUGAGUAGGGCGGGACACGUGGUAUCCUGUCUGAAUAUGGGGGGACCAUCCUCCAAGGCUAAAUACUCCUGACUGACCGAUAGUGAACCAGUACCGUGAGGGAAAGGCGAAAAGAACCCCGGCGAGGGGAGUGAAAAAGAACCUGAAACCGUGUACGUACAAGCAGUGGGAGCACGCUUAGGCGUGUGACUGCGUACCUUUUGUAUAAUGGGUCAGCGACUUAUAUUCUGUAGCAAGGUUAACCGAAUAGGGGAGCCGAAGGGAAACCGAGUCUUAACUGGGCGUUAAGUUGCAGGGUAUAGACCCGAAACCCGGUGAUCUAGCCAUGGGCAGGUUGAAGGUUGGGUAACACUAACUGGAGGACCGAACCGACUAAUGUUGAAAAAUUAGCGGAUGACUUGUGGCUGGGGGUGAAAGGCCAAUCAAACCGGGAGAUAGCUGGUUCUCCCCGAAAGCUAUUUAGGUAGCGCCUCGUGAAUUCAUCUCCGGGGGUAGAGCACUGUUUCGGCAAGGGGGUCAUCCCGACUUACCAACCCGAUGCAAACUGCGAAUACCGGAGAAUGUUACCACGGGAGACACACGGCGGGUGCUAACGUCCGUCGUGAAGAGGGAAACAACCCAGACCGCCAGCUAAGGUCCCAAAGUCAUGGUUAAGUGGGAAACGAUGUGGGAAGGCCCAGACAGCCAGGAUGUUGGCUUAGAAGCAGCCAUCAUUUAAAGAAAGCGUAAUAGCUCACUGGUCGAGUCGGCCUGCGCGGAAGAUGUAACGGGGCUAAACCAUGCACCGAAGCUGCGGCAGCGACGCUUAUGCGUUGUUGGGUAGGGGAGCGUUCUGUAAGCCUGUGAAGGUGUGCUGUGAGGCAUGCUGGAGGUAUCAGAAGUGCGAAUGCUGACAUAAGUAACGAUAAAGCGGGUGAAAAGCCCGCUCGCCGGAAGACCAAGGGUUCCUGUCCAACGUUAAUCGGGGCAGGGUGAGUCGACCCCUAAGGCGAGGCCGAAAGGCGUAGUCGAUGGGAAACAGGUUAAUAUUCCUGUACUUGGUGUUACUGCGAAGGGGGGACGGAGAAGGCUAUGUUGGCCGGGCGACGGUUGUCCCGGUUUAAGCGUGUAGGCUGGUUUUCCAGGCAAAUCCGGAAAAUCAAGGCUGAGGCGUGAUGACGAGGCACUACGGUGCUGAAGCAACAAAUGCCCUGCUUCCAGGAAAAGCCUCUAAGCAUCAGGUAACAUCAAAUCGUACCCCAAACCGACACAGGUGGUCAGGUAGAGAAUACCAAGGCGCUUGAGAGAACUCGGGUGAAGGAACUAGGCAAAAUGGUGCCGUAACUUCGGGAGAAGGCACGCUGAUAUGUAGGUGAAGUCCCUCGCGGAUGGAGCUGAAAUCAGUCGAAGAUACCAGCUGGCUGCAACUGUUUAUUAAAAACACAGCACUGUGCAAACACGAAAGUGGACGUAUACGGUGUGACGCCUGCCCGGUGCCGGAAGGUUAAUUGAUGGGGUCAGCGCAAGCGAAGCUCUUGAUCGAAGCCCCGGUAAACGGCGGCCGUAACUAUAACGGUCCUAAGGUAGCGAAAUUCCUUGUCGGGUAAGUUCCGACCUGCACGAAUGGCGUAAUGAUGGCCAGGCUGUCUCCACCCGAGACUCAGUGAAAUUGAACUCGCUGUGAAGAUGCAGUGUACCCGCGGCAAGACGGAAAGACCCCGUGAACCUUUACUAUAGCUUGACACUGAACAUUGAGCCUUGAUGUGUAGGAUAGGUGGGAGGCUUAGAAGUGUGGACGCCAGUCUGCAUGGAGCCGACCUUGAAAUACCACCCUUUAAUGUUUGAUGUUCUAACGUUGACCCGUAAUCCGGGUUGCGGACAGUGUCUGGUGGGUAGUUUGACUGGGGCGGUCUCCUCCUAAAGAGUAACGGAGGAGCACGAAGGUUGGCUAAUCCUGGUCGGACAUCAGGAGGUUAGUGCAAUGGCAUAAGCCAGCUUGACUGCGAGCGUGACGGCGCGAGCAGGUGCGAAAGCAGGUCAUAGUGAUCCGGUGGUUCUGAAUGGAAGGGCCAUCGCUCAACGGAUAAAAGGUACUCCGGGGAUAACAGGCUGAUACCGCCCAAGAGUUCAUAUCGACGGCGGUGUUUGGCACCUCGAUGUCGGCUCAUCACAUCCUGGGGCUGAAGUAGGUCCCAAGGGUAUGGCUGUUCGCCAUUUAAAGUGGUACGCGAGCUGGGUUUAGAACGUCGUGAGACAGUUCGGUCCCUAUCUGCCGUGGGCGCUGGAGAACUGAGGGGGGCUGCUCCUAGUACGAGAGGACCGGAGUGGACGCAUCACUGGUGUUCGGGUUGUCAUGCCAAUGGCACUGCCCGGUAGCUAAAUGCGGAAGAGAUAAGUGCUGAAAGCAUCUAAGCACGAAACUUGCCCCGAGAUGAGUUCU
rnacentral:rRNA from 1 species